UACGUAGGGUGCAAGCGUUAAUCGGAAUUACUGGGCGUAAAGCGUGCGCAGGCGGUUAUGUAAGACAGGUGUGAAAUCCCCGGGCUUAACCUGGGAACUGCAUUUGUGACUGCAUAGCUAGAGUACGGUAGAGGGGAUGGAAUUCCGCGUGUAGGCAGUGAAAUGCGUAGAUAUGCGGAGGAACACCGAUGCGAAGGCAAUCCCCUGGACCUAUA
rnacentral:rRNA from 1 species